ACUCAAAUGAAUAGACGGGGGCCCGCACAAGCGGUGGAGCAUGUGGAUUAAUUCGUCACUAACCGAAGAACCUUACCCAGGUUUGACAUCGAGGGCAAGGCCCUGAAAGGGGUCCCCCGGGGCAACCCGGCCCAAAGACAGGUGUUGCAUGGCUGUCGUCAGCUCGUGUCGUGAGAUGUUGGGUUAAGUCCCGCAACGAGCGCAACCCUCACCUGAUGUUGGCAGCGUAAAGUCGGCCACUCUUCAGGAACUGCCCGUGCAAGCGGGAGGAAGGUGGGGACGACGUCAAGUCGGCAUGGCCCUUACGCCUGGGGCUUCACACAUGCUACAAUGGGUGGCACAGAGGGCAGCGAUCCCGCGAGGGGGAGCGAAUCCCAAAAAUCCAUCCUCAGUUCGGAUCGCAGGCUGCAACUCGCCUGCGUGAAGCUGGAAUCGCUAGUAACCGCAGGUCAGCUAUACUGCGGUGAAUACGUUCCCGGGCCUUGUACACACCGCCCGU
rnacentral:rRNA from 1 species